GCAUUGGUAAUGUAGUAAUUAACAUAGCUGCCUUCCAAGCAGUUGACCUGGGUUCAAUUCCCAGCCAAUGCA